AUUUAUAAGAAUAUGAUGUUGGUUCAGAUUAAGCGCUAAAUAAGGACAUGACACAUGCGAAUCAUACGUUUAUUAUUGAUAAGAUAAUAAAUAUGUGGUGUAAACGUGAGUAAUUUUAUUAGGAAUUAAUGAACUAUAGAAUAAGCUAAAUACUUAAUAUAUUAUUAUAUAAAAAUAAUUUAUAUAAUAAAAAGGAUAUAUAUAUAAUAUAUAUUUAUCUAUAGUCAAGCCAAUAAUGGUUUAGGUAGUAGGUUUAUUAAGAGUUAAACCUAGCCAACGAUCCAUAAUCGAUAAUGAAAGUUAGAACGAUCACGUUGACUCUGAAAUAUAGUCAAUAUCUAUAAGAUACAGCAGUGAGGAAUAUUGGACAAUGAUCGAAAGAUUGAUCCAGUUACUUAUUAGGAUGAUAUAUAAAAAUAUUUUAUUUUAUUUAGUUCCGGGGCCCGGCCACGGGAGCCGGAACCCCGAAAGGAGAAAUAUUAAAUAUUUAUAAUAAUAAUAAUAAUAAUAUAUAUAUAUAAAUUGAUUAAAAAUAAAAUCCAUAAAUAAUUAAAAUAAUGAUAUUAAUUACCAUAUAUAUUUUAUAUGGAUAUAUAUAUUAAUAAUAAUAUUAAUUUAUUAUUAUUAAUAAUAUAUUUUAAUAGUCCUGACUAAUAUUUGUGCCAGCAGUCGCGGUAACACAAAGAGGGCGAGCGUUAAUCAUAAUGGUUUAAAGGAUCCGUAGAAUGAAUUAUAUAUUAUAAUUUAGAGUUAAUAAAAUUAAUUAAAGAAUUAUAAUAGUAAAGAUGAAAUAAUAAUAAUAAUUAUAAGACUAAUAUAUGUGAAAAUAUUAAUUAAAUAUUAACUGACAUUGAGGGAUUAAAACUAGAGUAGCGAAACGGAUUCGAUACCCGUGUAGUUCUAGUAGUAAACUAUGAAUACAAUUAUUUAUAAUAUAUAUUAUAUAUAAAUAAUAAAUGAAAAUGAAAGUAUUCCACCUGAAGAGUACGUUAGCAAUAAUGAAACUCAAAACAAUAGACGGUUACAGACUUAAGCAGUGGAGCAUGUUAUUUAAUUCGAUAAUCCACGACUAACCUUACCAUAUUUUGAAUAUUAUAAUAAUUAUUAUAAUUAUUAUAUUACAGGCGUUACAUUGUUGUCUUUAGUUCGUGCUGCAAAGUUUUAGAUUAAGUUCAUAAACGAACAAAACUCCAUAUAUAUAAUUUUAAUUAUAUAUAAUUUUAUAUUAUUUAUUAAUAUAAAGAAAGGAAUUAAGACAAAUCAUAAUGAUCCUUAUAAUAUGGGUAAUAGACGUGCUAUAAUAAAAUGAUAAUAAAAUUAUAUAAAAUAUAUUUAAUUAUAUUUAAUUAAUAAUAUAAAACAUUUUAAUUUUUAAUAUAUUUUUUUAUUAUAUAUUAAUAUGAAUUAUAAUCUGAAAUUCGAUUAUAUGAAAAAAGAAUUGCUAGUAAUACGUAAAUUAGUAUGUUACGGUGAAUAUUCUAACUGUUUCGCACUAAUCACUCAUCACGCGUUGAAACAUAUUAUUAUCUUAUUAUUUAUAUAAUAUUUUUUAAUAAAUAUUAAUAAUUAUUAAUUUAUAUUUAUUUAUAUCAGAAAUAAUAUGAAUUAAUGCGAAGUUGAAAUACAGUUACCGUAGGGGAACCUGCGGUGGGCUUAUAAAUAUC
rnacentral:ncRNA from 1 species